GACAGAGGAGGCAAGCGUUGUCCGGAAUUAUUGGGCGUAAAGAGCUCGUAGGCGGUCUGUCGCGUCUGCUGUGAAAACUCAGGGCUUAACCCUGAGCUUGCAGUGGGUACGGGCAGACUAGAGUGCGGUAGGGGAGACUGGAAUUCCUGGUGUAGCGGUGAAAUGCGCAGAUAUCAGGAGGAACACCGGUGGCGAAGGCGGGUCUCUGGGCCGUAACUGACGCUGGAGGAGCGAAAGCAUGGGGAGCGAACAGG
rnacentral:rRNA from 1 species